CUAAGAAUAUUCCGCAAUGGACGAAAGUCUGACGGAGCGACGCCGCGUGGAUGAAGAAGGCCGAAAGGUUGUAAAGUUCUUUUGUUGGGGAAGAAUAACCAUGGGAGGGAAUGCCCGUGGGAUGACAUGAACCGACGAAUAAGCCCCGGCUAACUACGUGCCAGCAGCCGCGGUAACACGUAGGGGGCGAGCGUUGUUCGGAAUUACUGGGCGUAAAGGGCAUGUAGGCGGUCUUGUAAGCUUGGCGUGAAAGACCACGGCUCAACCGUGGGAUUGCGUUGAGAACUGCGAGGCUUGAGUGACGGAGAGGGAGCUAGAAUUCCUGGUGUAGGGGUGGAAUCUGUGGAGAUCAGGAAGAAUACCAAUGGCGAAGGCAAGCUCCUGGCCGAUGACUGACGCUGAGGUGCGAAAGUGUGGGGAUCAAACAGGAUUAGAUACCCUGGUAGUCCACACUGUAAACGAUGUGCACUAGGUGCUGGUACGGAUGUAUCAGUGCCGUAGCUAACGUGAUAAGUGCACCGCCUGGGGAGUAUGCUCGCAAGGGUG
rnacentral:rRNA from 1 species